rnacentral:rRNA from 1 species
UACGGAGGGUGCAAGCGUUAUCCGGAUUCACUGGGUUUAAAGGGAGCGCAGGCGGGCUGGUAAGUCAGUGGUGAAAGCCUUGAGCUUAACUCGAGAACUGCCAUUGAUACUAUCAGUCUUGAAUAUUGUUGAGGUUUGCGGAAUGGGUCAUGUAGCGGUGAAAUGCAUAGAUAUGACCCGGAACACCUAUUGCGAAGGCAGCAGGCUAAACAAAGAUUGACGCUGAGGCUCGAAAGCGUGGGGAUCAAACAGG